AACGAACGCUGGCGGCAUGCCUAACACAUGCAAGUCGAACGAGACCUUCGGGCCUAGUGGCGCACGGGUGCGUAACACGUGGUAACCUGCCCUUAGGUUCGGAAUAACUCCCCUAAAGGGGUGCUAAUACCGCAUAAUGUCUUCGGACCAAAGAUUUAUCGCCUUUGGAUGGGCCCGCGUUGGAUUAGCUAGUUGGUAGGGUAAAAGCCUACCAAGGCGACGAUCCAUAGCUGGUCUGAGAGGAUGAUCAGCCACACUGGGACUGAGACACGGACCAGACUCCGACGGGAGGGAGCAGUGGGGAAUAUUGGACAAGGGGCGAAAGCGUGAUCCAGCAAUGCGGCGUGAGUGAUGAAGGCCUUAGGGUUGUAAAGCUCUUUUACCCGGGAUGAUAAUGACAGUACCGGGAGAAUAAGCUCCGGCUAACUCCGUG
rnacentral:rRNA from 1 species